AAUAUUGGACAAUGGGCGCAAGCCUGAUCCAGCAAUGCCGCGUGAGUGAUGAAGGCCUUAGGGUUGUAAAGCUCUUUUACCCGGGAUGAUAAUGACAGUACCGGGAGAAUAAGCUCCGGCUAACUCCGUGCCAGCAGCCGCGGUAAUACGGAGGGAGCUAGCGUUGUUCGGAAUUACUGGGCGUAAAGCGCGCGUAGGCGGCUAUUCAAGUCGGGGGUGAAAGCCCGGGGCUCAACCCCGGAACUGCCCUCGAAACUAGGUAGCUAGAAUCUUGGAGAGGUCAGUGGAAUUCCGAGUGUAGAGGUGAAAUUCGUAGAUAUUCGGAAGAACACCAGUGGCGAAGGCGGCUCACUGGCUCGAUACUGACGCUGAGGUGCGAAAGCGUGGGGAGCAAACAG
rnacentral:rRNA from 1 species